rnacentral:tRNA from 1 species
UGUAGGGUGGUGAAAUUGGCAGACACACCUCCUUGUCUCGGUGGCGGAGAUUCUGGGAAAUUCGUUUCGGCGAACUAACCACUCCUUGUAGGUUCGACUCCUACCCCUACAG